CAGAUCGUAAUGGUAGUAGCAAAUAUUCAAGUUCGAUCCUUGAAGACUGAAGUGGAGAAGGGUUCCACGUGAACAGUAGUUGGAUGUGGGUCAGUCGAUCCUAAGGUACUGGCGAAAGCCUUGUAUCAUCGGUGGCGAAAAGCUUGCUUUUUGUCCCCGCCCGUCGAAAGGGAAUAGGGUUAAUAUUCCCUAACUGAGAUGCAAAGAUUGUGUUCUUCGGAGCACAAGCGCGGUAACGCGUUCGAACUUGGUAAGUCGCUCAGAGACCGAGCUAGAGUUUUCUUCUCUAGUUAAGGAACGGACUCCCUGGAAUUGGUUCAGCCAGAGAUGGGGACGUUGUUUCCGAAAAGCACCGCGGUUUCUGUGGUGUCUCGUGCUCUCUGAACGGCCCUUUAAACACCAAGGGAGGCUAUUAAUUUGCACUCAAUCGUACCGAUAUCCGCAUUAGGUCUCCAAGGUGAACAGCCUCUAGUCGAUAGAAUAAUGUAGGUAAGGGAAGUCGGCAAACUAGAUCCGUAACUUCGGGAAAAGGAUUGGCUCCAGUGGUCGGAACGGUUGGCCAGUUGGUUGAUGCUUGUCCGGCGCUGUUCUGUCUGCUUGAUGCUUUCGGGCUGAUGGCGGCCUAGUGAUAGUGCUUGCUUGUUGACGCUUUCUGGUGUGUGCUUUGACCUCGGUCUUAGUAUCCUGAUCGUUCAUCUAAACGACUAAACUGGAACCGGUACGGACUCAGGGAAUCCGACUGUCUAAUUAAAACAGAGGUGACAGAUGGUCCUUGCGGACGCUGACUGUCACUGAUUUCUGCCCAGUGCUCUGAAUGUUAAAUCGUAAUAAUUCAAUUAAUCGCGGGUAAACGGCGGGAGUAACUAUGACUCUCUUAAGGUAGUCAAAUGCCUCGUCAUUUAAUUGUUGACGCGCAUGAAUGGAUUAACGAGAUUCCUACUGUCCCUAACUACUAUCUAGCGAAACCACAGCCAAGGGAACGGGCUUGGCAAAAAAUAGCGGGGAAAGAAGACCCUGUUGAGCUUGACUCUAGUUUGACAUUGUGAAGAGUCAUGAGAGGUGUAGCAUAGGUGGGAGUCUUCGGACGCCAAUGAAAUACCACCACUUUCAUCGACUCUUUACUUAUUCGGUUAAAAGAGAAUUGGUCGCAAGGCCUCUUUUUCGAAGUAUUAAGCGGAUCCAUUUUUAUGGAACCGUGACUCUCCCCGAAGACAGUGUCAAGCGGGGAGUUUGACUGGGGCGGUACAUCUAUCAAAUCGUAACGUAGGUGUCCUAAGGCGAGCUCAGAGAGGACGGAAACCUCUCGUAGAGCAAAAGGGCAAAAGCUUGCUUGAUCUUGACUUUCAGUACGAGUACAGACCGCGAAAGCGUGGCCUAUCGAUCCUUUUA
rfam:Caenorhabditis japonica strain DF5081 Contig8905.1, whole genome shotgun sequence.